rnacentral:rRNA from 1 species
CCCUGGUAGUCCACGCCGUAAACGAUGUCGAUUUGGAGUUUGUGCCAUUGAGGCGUGGCUUCCGGAGCUAACGCGUUAAAUCGACCGCCUGGGGAGUACGGCCGCAAGGUUAAAACUCAAAUGAAUUGACGGGGGCCCGCACAAGCGGUGGAGCAUGUGGUUUAAUUCGAUGCAACGCGAAGAACCUUACCUGGUCUUGACAUCCACAGAACUUUCCAGAGAUGGAUUGGUGCCUUCGGGAACUGUGAGACAGGUGCUGCAUGGCUGUCGUCAGCUCGUGUUGUGAAAUGUUGGGUUAAGUCCCGCAACGAGCGCAACCCUUAUCCUUUGUUGCCAGCGGUCCGGCCGGGAACUCAAAGGAGACUGCCAGUGAUAAACUGGAGGAAGGUGGGGAUGACGUCAAGUCAUCAUGGCCCUUACGACCAGGGCUACACACGUGCUACAAUGGCAUAUACAAAGAGAAGCGACCUCGCGAGAGCAAGCGGACCUCAUAAAGUAUGUCGUAGUCCGGAUUGGAGUCUGCAACUCGACUCCAUGAAGUCGGAAUCGCUAGUAAUCGUAGAUCAGAAUGCCACGGUGAAUACGUUCCCGGGCCUUGUACACACCGCCCGUCACACCAUGGGAGUGGGUUGCAAAAGAAGUAGGUAGCUUAACCUUCGGGAGGGCGCUUACCACUUUGUGAUUCAUGACUGGGGUGAAGUCGUAACAAGGUAACCGUAGGGGAACCUGCGGUUG